GGACAGGAUACACACACACAGAAAGAGAAAGAGAGAGAGUGUGUGCUGUAAUUGUCACUGUUAGGACACAUCCAUGGUGAGGAACUACCACUUGAAGCAGCUGUUCAGUCAGAGGAUGUAAGAUGUGGAAAAACUUUGAAGAAACGGAAGGAUUUUGUAUGUCAGGGAAGGAGCCAGAAGGAGACGAGCAGACAGGCACACACCUACCGUAUACUCACACUCACACACACACCAUGGCACAGGAGAUGAGUCAAGAGAAGACCAAGCAGAGAUGAAGUGAUAUCACUACACUGGAAAAAAGCAAAGGGAAAAACUCACGAUCAGCUGACUGAAACCUAAACACAGCACAGAGGCAGCCCGGCUUGAGUGGCAGGGAGGAUGACAUCACCAGCGGCCGUGGGAGCCUGGAGCCUGCCAUUCAUGACAGCGGUGUGUCUGUGUGUCACUUCCUGGGAGAGAAUAGAACAGGAAGCUGGAGUGAGAACCCACAGCCCUCACCUCCACAAGGAAGCCUUUCUCCCCCGAGAGCAGAAAAAGGAGGGCUUGUAUCCAGCACUCCUCUGUCUGUGUAUGGCCCACAGCUUUCCUGAAAACAAAACCAAAUGAUGCCAUUCAACAACAUGCUGCUGCAGACAGCAGCUCCAUCUGCUGUCCCUGUCUGGCCCUGACCUAUCCCAGCUGGCAGUGCACGACUCGGCCGUGUGGCAGUAUCUUCUUCCUACUGAUGCCUAAUUCCUCUGCACUGUCUUCUGCUCAUAUAAAUAUUCUGUGAUGAGAAUGUGAACAAUGUCAUUUGUAGCCUCGGCUGCAGGAGUUAAAGUGUGCUGUCCUGUUUCUACAAUUGUGAGGCUCUCAUGCUGAAUCCUUUACAGCUGAUGUCAUUGAAGUGAUUAGAUCUGACACACCUGUGCUGGGCAGCUCAGACAGAUGGCUGCAGGUGAGCUGAACUCCUGCACACUUUGACACAGCAGUCUGGUGUAGCUGCACUCUUGUGUACUGCAGCUAAGCUAACUGGCUGUUAAUUAAUCUCAUAAAAGGUACGGUAAGUCAAAAAAGUUCAAUUUUCUUCCCAUUAAUUUCCCACAUUUUUCUUUAUUUAUCCUUGAACUGUGUUUAGAACAGGUGGUGGUGGUAAAUUGGACAUUGGCAAACAGGACAAAAAAUAAGCCGUCUAGUCUGUUUUGUAAGACAAUGAAGUAUAGAUGAGGGUCUAAAGUUCACCUCACCGCUGCAGCUGUGAUCACAGAACAUCUUCCCCCAGAAGCUGGUUUCACAUGGUGGUUUAGAUGUGUGUUCCCGUUGUCUAGCACCAUUUGAAAUCAGUGUUCUUGGGGACAGCAGGACAGCUCCAGCAGUGAGUGAGCCUCAGGAGAACGAGAACAGGACACCCCCCCCCCCCCACCUCCUCUUGUCUCCACUCAAAGAUAACUGAUUUCCUCUGGUGCUUAGAGCCCACUGCAGCCUUCUAGCACCAUUUGAAAUCGGUUAUAAAACUGUGGAUCACUGCCUCUGUGAGUCAUCAACAAUUCAAAUAAGGAGAAGACCACUGGGAGAGACUGAAGAGUGCUCAAAGAUGUUGUUGUUUUAUUUGUGUGCCACCCGUUCACUUUGUCGAUUCAGCAGUGAUGUUAAAGCCUUUACAGUGAAAUGCUGUUAUAUGUAUAUAUUUUCCCCCCAGAAUUAUAAACAUCUUCAGCUUGAGUAAACGUGAAACUGUCAGCCUCACUAUUCUAUACGAGCCCUUCUGAUCAUUGUGUCAAUUUAUUAAACAUUUACCAGUUUCAUGCGUGUUUAAGCAGUCCCUUUAGAAAAUUAUGAGUGAGUAAGAAACAUGUGGAUUCACAGCUUUCCAUGUUAUCCAAUAACCUUGUGAAGUUGCUGUUUGCUGUGUUGUGACUGGUCUGGGGGUUGGUCCUGAAUUAAAUGAAAAUUAUAAGGACUACUACCGGUAUGUUUCCAAAAACUGUUCUUUUUCCUUUAGUCAACACAAAAGCAAAUGUCCCACUACAAAUGUAAUUUGGUGAUGUCAUUAGAUACCACAGGGUGGCAGCAUUGGCUGUACACUAAGGCCUCUCCUGACUCACUGCAGUGUUACUUCUAAAUAAAUUAAGCAAAGUAAAAAACA
ensembl:lncRNA